GGAGUAUGGGCCGUAUCUCAGUCCCAUCGCGACCGGACAUCAUCUCAGACCGGUUACCCGUCAUAGACUUGGUAAGCCGUUACCUCACCAACUAUCUGAUAGGACGCACCCCCCUCCGAAGCGAUAAAUCUUUCCUCCCAUUGGGAUUUCACCAUCGUGAGCAUAUUGGGAAUUAGCUACAUCUCUGUAGUUAUACCCAACUUCGGGGCAGGUUAAGCACGCGUUACUCGCUCGUUUGCCACUAACCUUACUACGUAUUGCUACGACGCAAGGUCCGUUCGACUUGCAUGUGUUAGGCAUUUCGCUAGCGUUCAUC
rnacentral:rRNA from 1 species